UCACACGCGUACAAAGGAAAAGGAGAAGAGAAAGAAAAAGUUUUUUUUAAGCUUUCGCCAGGAAGUCUGUCUUAAAGUAUUAAAACUCUCAGGCUGCGCCGAUUGUCUUUGCCGCGUGCGUAAUGGCGGCCGCACGGUCGCCGAAUCGAGUCGAAACGAGAAAUAUGGUGUACAACCGAUAUCCGAGCAUCCGAGACGGUAUUUUUCUGUUUCUAUUCGCUUUCCAUUUUGCGCGACUUCCUUCUGUAGAGUUUUAGAACACGGAAGAGAGCGCCGGAACAACGCGAUAUCGAUAGGAGGGAAGAAACGGUUUAGAAAUCGAUCAACGGUUUUUCUCUUCGCGCGUUUGCUUCAACGAACGUUCGAAUCAGCUUAAAAAACGCAUGGCCUGUAAAUUCGGUGUGUCGAAACUAGCGAGCGCAAGCACUCGUGCUACUCGUCGACUCGUCAAAUUUGUUUAAUAGUAGAGCGUGCCUUAUAUCGACGAUCCAUGCAGAGAAAACAAUAUCUUCUAGAGUUUCGUUUUUUUUUCGUACCGGACUAAUUAUUUUCCGUUAACUUGAAAUUCGAUUCGCCUCGCGUUUUUAUGCUCGGUUGUUUCGUUGAACACCGUUUCUCUCUUUACACACACACACACAUACACACAAAACAUAAACACAACACAAAUAACGGAAACGUGUAACGUACUGGAUUUUUAUUCGAACCUUACUCGUAGAACACGUAUUUAAAAAACAGUCUAAUUGUACGAUAAAAAUUUAGAAAGCAACAAGAAUUACAUAGCGCGCAAAAGUAAUGACACAUUGUAUACACGUACAUACAGUUAGUAAUAUGUGUAUUCUUCGAGUGUAAGUUUCUCGUAGUUUUUUAAUCGUGUUAGUUAUUAAAGUUAACUAUCUGUCCUAAGUAAUUGACCAAAACGGACUAAAACUUUAUCCUCUUAGAAAGUUACGGUAAAGCGACUGAGCGAUUCGAUUAUAUUUUCAUCGAGAUUCGAUGUGUUUGAAACAAGUACUCGCAAAAGAUCUCUCCUGAUCGACCUGAAUCUUUCUUAGAAUCCAGAAUUUUGCGUUUACUACCGCUAAUUUCUAAAAAAAAAAAAAAGAAAAAAAAAACAAAAUGAGAAUUUAGUGACUUUUCCAAUUGAACUGUGUAGAACUUCAGUCUAGAAAAGAACAUAUCAACGUGUCACGGUCGUCGAUACCAAAAAUUUGAUAUUCAUUCUCCUCUUUAAAAGUUUCUACUGAAACAAAAAAAAAAAGAAAAAAGAAAAAAGAAAAAAGACAGAAAAGUUAAUAACACCUAUAUCCCUUUCCUUUCUUUGUUCGCCCUUAAUUUUUCGAAAAACGUACCAUUCACCUAGAUAGUACAAUAAAGAGUAGAAAUUCCUCGCGAAUGUGCAAAGAGGCGGGGAUUUUUAAUCACGAAUUCACGCGCAUCCUGAUUAACCGAAGUAGUCAAAUUGCAAAACGUAAUAGAUGUAGUUAAACGAAUUGAAAAACCGACCGUGCGGUAGUUACCACUUUCCAAAUACGUAUUUUCAUCAUGAUUGAUUAAAGUUAAUGAUUGGUUCGAAAUUGGUAAUAUAUCCUGGUCACGAUAAAUCGCACAUAAAAAUGUUAAGAAACGCAGAAAGCUUUGAAAUAACAAUAAUUAACGAUAUAGUUUGCAACUUUGGCAAGAUUGAAAAUAAAAGGAAAAUCUGAAAAAAAAAAAAAGAUAUGUAUAUAUAAGUAUUAACGCGUCUUUCUCGUAUCGUACAUUAUCAUUCAUUUUCAACUUAAUGUAAUA